GUCCCAUAAAUACACGGGUUGCCGUGACGUAAGUGGAGGCUGGAAGAAGUGCGCCUGUUGAACAAAACUAGCGGUUAUAGCCUCUGAGCCCCCGUGCAAGUCCCAUACCUCCAUGACAGCUUCUUCAUAGCAAUUGGCAGAUUGCGCCUUUACACUUGGGAUGAACAAAUUUUCUAGUAAACUAGAAAAAAAAAAGUGACAAACACCAUGAUGAAAUUUGCACCUGCAAAAAUCCUGGGGGGUUAAAGCAAUGAAGCUUCACAGCAUUCAUUGUGAAAACAUGAAAUAUGACCGUGGUUGCACCAGCAAUGUUACAGUGUUUGACCUUGCCUAUUCAUCAUACUGUAUGGUACACCUUAACCACUCAGAGAUAUGAAAGCUUAAAGAAUUUUUAAGGAAUCAGUGUGAUAGACUUGGCAGGUGCAACACAUAAGAGGCAAGAUUUAUGGACAGUAAUAAACAGUAAUACAUUAGCAAUAUACCUUAUAAUAAUUAUUAAUCAAUUUAAGGAAUACUGUAAAAGUUAAAUUA